UACGAAGGGGGCUAGCGUUGUUCGGAGUUACUGGGCGUAAAGGGCGCGUAGGCGGCGCAUCAAGUCAGGCGUGAAAGCCCUGGGCUCAACCCGGGAAUUGCGCUUGAGACUGGUGUGCUCGAGUCCGGAAGAGGAGAGUGGAAUUCCCGGUGUAGCGGUGAAAUGCGCAGAUAUCGGGAAGAACACCCGUGGCGAAGGCGGCUCUCUGGGACGGUACUGACGCUGAGACGCGAAAGCGUGGGGAGCGAACAGG
rnacentral:rRNA from 1 species